UACGUAGGGUGCAAGCGUUGUCCGGAAUUAUUGGGCGUAAAGAGCUUGUAGGCGGUUUGUCGCGUCUGCUGUGAAAUUUCGGGGCUCAACCCCGAACUUGCAGUGGGUACGGGCAGACUAGAGUGUGGUAGGGGAGACUGGAAUUCCUGGUGUAGCGGUGAAAUGCGCAGAUAUCAGGAGGAACACCGAUGGCGAAGGCAGGUCUCUGGGC
rnacentral:rRNA from 1 species